rnacentral:rRNA from 1 species
UACGUAGGGGGCGAGCGUUGUCCGGAUUCAUUGGGCGUAAAGCGCGCGUAGGCGGCUUCGUAAGUCGGCCGUGAAAGCUCCCGGCUCAACUGGGAGGGGUCGGGCGAGACUGCGGGGCUGGAGGCGGGCAGAGGGCGGUGGAAUUCCGGGUGUAGUGGUGGAAUGCGUAGAGCUCCGGAGGAACACCAGUGGCGAAGGCGGCCGCCUGGGCCUGGCCUGACGCUGAGGCGCGAAAGCGUGGGGAGCGAUC